rnacentral:misc_RNA from 1 species
GUGAGUCAUCGAAUCUUUGAACGCACAUUGCGCCCUUUGGUAUUCCGAGGGGCACGUCUGUGUGAACGUCAUUUAAACACCCAAGCUCGGCUUGGUGAUGGAGGCGGCCCGUGCCGUCGUCCGCAAUCCGUCGGCUGCGGCACCCGUCCGUGAAAGCAGUGAGACACAUCUUUCUGCGGAUCGUCUGGCAGGCUGCAGGCCCAACGAAACUUUUUAAGACUUGACUUCACAUCAGGCGAGGUUACCCGCUGAACUUAAGCAUAUCAAUAAGCGGAGGA